rnacentral:lncRNA from 1 species
GUGAUGGAAUUGUUGUCGGACAAAUGAUUUCUUUUCUGAAUCUUCAAGUUCAUCGAAUAUCCUUUCGAUUUUGAUUCAAGAUUAUCGAAAAUUUUGAGAUUCAAAAUUCUUCUCCCAGUUCAUUGAAGAUCCUUUCAAUUUUGAUUCAAAAUUGUUGAAAAUUUUGAGUUUCAAAAUUAUUCUCCUAGUUCAUUGGAGAUCAUUUUAAUUUUGAUUCAAAAUUAUCAAAUCAUGAAGAUCCUUUCAAUUUAAAUUAAUAAGUGUUGUAUUUCUA